rnacentral:tRNA from 1 species
GUCCCAGUAGCUCAGGGGACAGAGCAACUGUCUUCUAAACAGUAGGCCGGAGGUUCGAAUCCUCCCUGGGACACAA